GGGGAAAGAAAAAGAAAAAAGCUAGCUAAGCAUAAGCCAGGAAGUAGGGAUCCUACAAAGCCCAUGCCUUCAAGCUCCUGCCUUCAAAUUUAUGCUUUGACUUCCCUCAGUAAUGGGACUGCGACCUGGAAGUAAAAGCCAAAUAAAGAAAUCCUUUCUUCUCCUGAGUUGUUUCUAGUAAUGGUAUUUGCCACAGCAGCAGAAUGAGGCUAGAACAGGAGAAAAGCUGGGAAUGAGAGAACCUCUGGCUCUGCCCUUCCUGCUUUGCUCUGAUGAAAGGAAAUACAACUGCAUAGAAAGAGCGCCCAAUGGGAAGGAGUCUCUUCCAGCGCAGCCUCAGAGGAGUGAACAGCAGUGGUGAUUCGGAAACUAGCAUGUCCAGCAGCAAAUGGAACACCUUUUCGUUACGGAUCCCCAGGGCACCCUGGACAGAGAAUGAGUAACUCCGCCUAAGUAGCCAGCCCCAGGAAGGAACUGCUCAAUCAUUUACUUGCCUGCCAUCAUCAAGACAAUCUCGAAGAAUUGAGUCAGAAAAACAGCCCAGCUUACCAAAGAGAUGAUUGCUUCCUGACGGUCACUGACAUCUGGGCUCAUCAGUUGCCUGUGUGGAAGGGAAUAUAUUGUUCAGUGGGAGGAAGGCUGGUUACUUCUCAGCCCAGAGCAUAACAGUGGAGUGCUCUUUCUCUGCUGCAGAGGGAGAAAGUGAGGCUCAGAGAGGAGUAACUGGCUCAGAACACAUUGCAGAUGAAUGAAAACACUGGGACCGGAAGCCAACUGUAGUGUGUCUCAUUUUGGUUCACUGUCUAUUUAGUAUAACUGGAUAGUAAAGGAUAGGGACUCCUUAGAGACGGGGUGGGGGUGGGGGCUCACUCACGCCAAAGGAUUGGAUGCAUCUCCAAUUGAGAAUUAGUGAUAAUUUAGUCAGGGGGUAGGGUCUGAAAUUGGUUUGUGAGUAAGAGAUAAGAAUCUAGACAAAACUAGACAUUGGAAAGAGCAAUGUUUGGUUUUGUUUUCCAGAUUUCUUUUUGAGACAGACAGGUUCUUUCUAUGUAGCCAUGGCUAGACUGAACUUGUUAUAUGGACCAGGCUGGACUCGAUACUCACAGCAAUCCUCUUGCCGGUGCUCCUAAAUACUGGGAUUUACAAUUGUGUACUACCACAUCCACCUUGUCCAUUUACAAAUGUAUACUAGCACACCCACUUGGGAGGCUAAGGCAGGAGGAUUCUGAGUCUGAGCCUUUGAGGAGGUUGGGUCAAGCUUAGAGAGGUGAAGUACAUAGCUUAUGGCCGUGACUUGCAGUGGUAGACCUCACUGAAUGAGUGACCACUUUCCACCACCCUUCAUUGUUUCUACAGAAAUCCAGCAACUCUUGUGAAGGCUCUGGGAUGGAGUAGCAGAAGGCAGACAGACUACACACAAGUAAAUAUAUACUCCUUAAUUGUGAACCACCUUUUACUGGCCUUGUCUUUUGUCUUUUCUGUUGCUCAUACUGAAACCCAGUUGACCUUAAAUUUACUUCCUCAUUCUCUGUGGUGUUGACAUUACAGCAUUGUCUCUUAACUCUGUGAGCAUAGUAUCUUUUACAAAUUUAUUUACUUAUUUUCAUUUGUGUGUGUGUGUGUGUGUGUGUUCCUGCUUGUCAGUAAGUGUCCCAUGUGUGUUCAGUGCCCUUGGAGUCUGGAAGAGGGUGUUGGAUCUCCUAGAAAUGGAGUUACAGUCAGGUGUAAGCUGACCAGUGUAGGUGCUGGGAAUCAAACCUGGGCCCCCUGGAAGAGCAGCCAGUGCUCCUAACCACUGAGCCAUCUCUCCAGCCCUGAGCACACAUGACAAGCAUGUCUGCUCAGUUCUCUAAAAACUAGUAAAAAAAACGUCACCGCUUUCAUCGUAUCCUCAGUGGCCAGAUUAACCAGCUCAGAAUCUGUGCAGUUUCUCAGUAGCUUAUCCUGUUUGUCUUUUGGAUUCUUCCCUGCUUUUCAGCCUAUGUUUUAGAUAGGAUAGAUACGAAAUCAACAGUGAGUUAGUGUUAAUCAUUUCCUAUGUCAUAUUGACUAGGUACCUGGGCUCCCUGGAGUUGAAAAGCUGGAUCUAUUAUUUAUUUUCUAUUUAUAUUUUUAAAACAAAACAGUGUAUAUUUAUGGUGUAUGGCAAAACUCUGACAUAUUUACAACAGACAGAUGAACACAUGCGUCUCUACACAUAGCCUCUACUUUAUAUUUAUGUGGUAUGAGCACCUGAAAUCUCUCAGCAAAUUUCCGGUGCCCGCACGGUGUGACUAAUCGCAGUCCCCAUGCUAUGUUUUAGAUCUGCAGACUUGUUUGUUCACCCUGAUUGCAGCCUUGUGUACCCUCUGACCACCAUCUCUCCAUGCCCUCACCUCUCUGCCGCUCACAAUGGCAGAUCUACCCCUUGCUUCUUAAGACCGAGUGCAUCCGUGAAGUCAUGAAGCAUCCUUUCCCCCACUCUGCUCUCUUGCUGAUUAGCGACUUCAGGCAACUUGCUGAUUUCCUUUGGUCCUAAGUCACUUCCUCUGUAGAUUGAGAAGCUGCACAGACUCUGAGUGAGUUAAUCUAGCUAUUGAAGAGAUGAUGAAGCUGUGAAAUCUUCUGACUAGUUUUCAGAGAGCUGGACAGUACACUUGUCGUUGUUGUAUAGGGAGUUCACAAACCUGGCAGCUUUGGUGCGCUUCUGAGUCCUCGCCAGCUCUCAUUAAUCCCAACACCUGUGCUGCGUGCUCACCUAAACCUCUCGGAUAGGCUCACAUCCUUCCAGACACAUGCUACCCUGUCCUGUCCUGGCUUAGGCUUUGUUUUCUUUUCUUUCUCUUUUUGACUCUUUUCCCAAGCUGAGCUGGCUCUCAGCCCAGUCAAUGUGACGUUAUGAAGCCGGCUGCAGCCAAAGAAACCGAAACCCCAUUUCACAUGGAUUCCAGUGCUUUAGUCAGUCGUGGGGUUUCCCCAUGACUGUGUGGGUCAGGUUUCUCUCCUGGCCACUCCUAUCAUAGUGUCCGAAGUAGGGAAAAUCCAUAGUCUCUAGGCAUCUGGGCUCCCAGCAGAAGCCAAAAGGAAAGUCAUUUCCUGCACGGCUUUAACUUUCUCCAUAUGCAAACUGGAAUCUGCUUCUUGAUUGGAUCACCUUCUGCUUCCUUACCUCUGGGACAGCAAGUAGCUGGUGGCUCAAGCCAUCUGCUUGCAGAGGGCCCUACUGACAAGGUGACAGCAUCACAGUCAUCACCCAUGUCUCUAGUUGCCUGCCCUCAUAAUAGCUCCAACCACAUUCAGACCAGAGGCUUGCACCCGGGCCUCCACUAGCUCUUCUCACCUUCACCACACAGGACAGCUCGGCACACCCACUUGCUCUCUGAAGCUGGAGACCACAUGCGGUGUGUUUGUGAUGGGAACUGUGCUUGGGUCACAGGGGAGCCCCCACAAGGUGGUGCGAGUGUGAGGCCUGGGGGAAGCACGUGAUCAGUGUUUGUUGACAGAUAAUUUUAGGCCCCCUCUUCUAUGAGAGGAAUGCAUUUUUAUUUUCUUCUUCAUAUUGGUUUGAGGAUUCCUUUUUGUCUUUAUUUAUUUAUUUUUUGUUUGCUUGUUUGUUUCUUGUUUCAUAUCCCUCAUGAAAUUCCUUAUCCU